rnacentral:lncRNA from 1 species
AAUAUGGAGUCUAAAAGGAGGAGGCGAAUCGAACGCAAAAAUUAUGGGCCCAGUUUUUGAGAUCUAAAUGAAGUUCGAAAAUCGCCGUUAGGGGCGCUUGUGAUGAUUGGGAUACUAGAAAUACACAGCUUCUUAUGGCAAGAAUAACUAUUUUGUUAUAAAUUAUAGAGCCAAGUUAAUAUUUGGGCAUAUUUUUACCAGAGUUAGCUUUUAGAAACGUGGUUUUUCUAAUUGAGCAAUGUGCGUGGCUAAAAUUGUGAAUACAAAACCUUAAAUUUGAGUUUGAAAAUGCAUACACGACCGAAGAAACAUAUAAGCUGCUAAAAUAAAUCUUCCCUAGAACUGUUGUACAAAAAAGAUAGAAGUUCCAGCAACAAAUUUAUCACCAGUUCAACCUUUGAUUUGAUGUAAACAGUAAUUGUUUCUUGAUGAGAAAUGCGAAUGAAAUAGUUUAUGGUGUGAUUGUGUUAGUGUUUUAUUAAUAGUUUUGUUGAUGCAGUUUAAAGGUUCAUAGUUUUUCAUUAAAACAUUUGAAAUUGACAUGUUUACAUGCAGUUUAGUGUGAUACCAUUUUAAUAAACAUUAAAAUCUUUCGAACUAGUAGUGGUUUUAUGGCGAUUGACAGAUUGAAUAACGAAAAU